GGUUAUAUAGUGUAGUAGUAACACAUUGAGUAUUCUUAAUACUUCUUUAUCUUUGGUUUAAUUCCAAAUAUAACUC